rnacentral:rRNA from 1 species
GACGAACGCUGGCGGCGUGCCUAAUACAUGCAAGUCGAACGCAGUGGGGACGGGUGAGUAACACGUGGGUAACCUCCCAUCAGAGGGGAUACCACUUGGAAACAGGUGCUAACCCGAUAAUGAUGGAUGGACCUGCGGUGCAUUAGCUAGUUGGUGAGGUAACGGCUCACAGAGGCCACGAUGCAUAGCCGGCCUGAGAGGGUGAUCGGACAAACUGGGACUGAGACAGGGCCCAGAGUCCUACGGGAGGGAGCAGUAGGGAAUAUUCGGCAAUGGACGAAAGUCUGACCGAGCAACGCCGCGUGAGUGAAGAAGGUUUGCGGAUCGUAAAACUCUGUUGUUAGAGAAGCGGUAUCUACCCAGAAAGCCACGGCGAACUACGUGCCAGCCGCCGCGGUAAUU